ACCUAUUUCACAUCACGAGUUUACAUCUGUGAAUUUUUCACUUAUCUUCACGAGUUUUCUUCCCUUUCGUUGUCUCUUCAAAUCUGUAAAAUAUUGUACCCAGAUUUCCUCCAAAAAAUUCAAUCGAAAAAAGCAGAAAUCAAACUCAGUUACAAAUGACAGAAGUAUAGAGAGAAGGAAAGAUGGAGUACUUCAUAGAAUUCGCAGAAACCCGACGAAGAGCUCACAUUUUUGCAGAUUGAGAAGGUUAGGAGAGAGAAUGCUUUGCCCUUGCGAAUUGAGGUACCCAAAUUGAAAGAACACUUCUUUGCAAAGUAGAUUCAAGAGCUUCUUCUUUAAGGGAUAAUGUCUGCUCUUAGUUUUUCUCCUUCAAAGGAGAAAAAAUGUUCUUGUGGAGUCCUCUUGCAAGGUUAACUGGUUGGACUAGGGAAAAUCCUGGGCGAAAAUUCAGAUCAUGUAAGUUUUACGAACCAAUCACAAAAACACGGGGAUGCAAAGCUUUCGUGUGGGUGGAUGAACCAGAUGGAACAGCUUGGCAAACAAAGGUGAUCAACAAUAUCUUGUUGGACAAGAAGCUGGUGAAGGGUGAAGUUAGUGAUCUGAAGAGGGAGGUUGAUAAUUUGAGUGGGCAACGGAGGUGUCUGCUCAAUGAAAUUGAUAGCUUGAAGGUGAUAAACAAAGCUAUGAGUUGUGACAGUAAGCAAAUGAACAUGGAAUAUAGGGCAAACUCAUUGAACACCUAUGUUGUUAUUAUUGGCAUCUGCUGUUUUUUCUUUAUUUUAGAAAUGAUUUUAGUGAUUAAGUUUGGCUAGUAUAUUUGGUUAGGGUAAGAAACAACCAUGCUCAAAGAAGUAGAGCGUUUAGGUUAUUGAAUUGAAGUUGUAAGGGCUUGAAAAAUGUAACUUUUCGGUGUUUGAAUGAAAUAAAAUGCAGUUUCGUUUAUUAAA